rnacentral:tRNA from 1 species
AGGGGGUUGGCACAGUGGUAAAGCACAUGCUUCACAAGCAUGAGGCUCUAGGUUCAAUCCCCAGGAUCUCUC